rnacentral:tRNA from 1 species
UGUGAUAAAAUGUAUGAAGCAUAUGGAAUUUUGGACACCAAUGAUAAGUUUAAUUCUUAAAUUCACAA